rnacentral:rRNA from 1 species
CCUACGGGUGGCAGCAGUGAGGAAUAUUGGUCAAUGGACGAGAGUCUGAACCAGCCAAGUAGCGUGAAGGAUGACGGCCCUAUGGGUUGUAAAUUUCUUUUAUAUGGGAAUAAAACAGUGUUUGCAUAACCUAUUGUAUGUACCAUAUGAAUAAGGAUCGGCUAACUCAGUGCCAGCAGCCGAGGUUAUACGGAGGAUCCGAGCGUUAUCAGGAUUUAUUUGGCUUAAAGGUAGCGUAGGUGGAUUGUUAAGUCAGUUGUGAAAGUUUGCGGAUCAACCUUAAAAUUGCAGUUAAAACUGGCAGUCUAGAGUACAGUAGAGGUGGGCGGAAUUCGUGGUGUAGUGGUGAAAUGCUUAGAUAUCACGAAGAACUCCGAUUGCGAAGGCAGCUCACUGGACUUCAACUGACACUGAUGCUCGAAAGUGUGGGUAUCAAACAGGAUUAGAUACCCGUGUAGUC